rnacentral:rRNA from 1 species
AAUCAACGCUGGCGGCGUGCCUCAGACAUGCAAGUCGAACGAUUAAAGCUCUCUUCGGAGAGUGCAUAGAGUGGCGCACGGGUGAGUAACACGUAAGUAAUCUACCUUCGAGUGGGGAAUAACGUCCGGAAACGGACGCUAAUACCGCAUAAUGCAGCGGCAUCGUAAGAUGACAGUUGUUAAAGAUUUAUCGCUUGAAGAGGAGCUUGCGGCAGAUUAGCUAGUUGGUAAGGUAAUGGCUUACCAAGGCUACGAUCUGUAACCGGUCUUAGAGGACGGUCGGUCACACUGACACUGAAUAACGGGUCAGACUCCUACGGGAGGCAGCAGUCGGGAAUUUUGGGCAAUGGGCGAAAGCCUGACCCAGCAACGCCGCGUGAAGGAUGAAGUAUUUCGGUAUGUAAACUUCGAAAGAAUAGGAAGAAUUAAUGACGGUACUAUUUAUAAGGUCCGGCUAACUACGUGCCAGCAGCCGCGGUAAGUCUCGCGUGA